GGAUAGCUCAGUCAGUGGAGCAUGAGACUUUUAAUUCCAGGGUUGUGUGUUCAAGCCCCACAUUGGACA